rnacentral:rRNA from 1 species
UGCAACUCGCCUGCAUGAAGUCGGAAUUGCUAGUAAUCGCGGAUCAGCAUGCCGCGGUGAAUACGUUCCCGGGCCUUGUACACACCGCCCGUCACACCAUGGGAGUCGGUAACACCCGAAGCCGAUAGUCUAACGAAAGAGGACGUCGUCGAAGGUGGGAUUGAUGACUGGGGUGAAGUCGUAACAAGGUAGC